rnacentral:rRNA from 1 species
CUACGUGCCAGCAGCCGCGGUAAUACGGAAGGUCCGGGCGUUAUCCGGAUUUAUUGGGUUUAAAGGGAGCGUAGGCCGGGGAUUAAGUGUGUUGUGAAAUGUAGGCGCCCAACGUCUGACUUGCAGCGCAUACUGGUUCCCUUGAGUACGCGCAACGCCGGCGGAAUUCGUCGUGUAGCGGUGAAAUGCUUAGAUAUGACGAAGAACCCCGAUUGCGAAGGCAGCCGGCGGGAGCGCAACUGACGCUGAAGCUCGAAGGUGCGGGUAUCGAACAGGAUUAGAUACCCUGGUAGUCCGCACGGUAAACGAUGGAUGCCCGCUGUCGGCGCCUUGCGCCGGCGGCCAAGCGAAAGCGUUAAGCAUCCCACCUGGGGAGUACGCCGACAACGGUGAAACUCAAAGGAAUUGACGGGGGCCCGCACAAGCGGAGGAACAUGUGGUUUAAUUCGAUGAUACGCGAGGAACCUUACCCGGGCUUGAA